rnacentral:rRNA from 1 species
AGAGUUUGAUCCUGGCUCAGAACGAACGCUGGCGGCGUGCUUAACACAUGCAAGUCGAACGCGAAAGUAGACUUCGGUCUGCGAGUAGAGUGGCGCACGGGUGAGUAACGCGUAAGUAAUCUACCCUUCUAUCUGGGAUAACAGUGGGAAACUGCUGCUAAUACCGGAUACGGUCUUUGUGUCAUAAGGCAUGAAGAAGAAAGGUGGCCUCUCCUUGGAAGCUACCGUAGAGGGACGAGCUUGCGUACCAUUAGCUAGUUGGUGGGGUAAUGGCCUACCAAGGCUGCGAUGGUUAGCGGGUCUGAGAGGAUGAUCCGCCACACUGGAACUGAAACACGGACCAGACUCCUACGGGAGGCAGCAGUGAGGAAUAUUGCGCAAUGGGGGCAACCCUGACGCAGCGACGCCGCGUGAGUGAAGAAGGAUUUCGGUUCGUAAAGCUCUGUCAAGUGGGAAGAACUGUCAUAGGAUUAAUACCCCUAUGAUUUGACGGUACCACUAAAGGAAGCACCGGCUAACUCCGUGCCAGCAGCCGCGGUAAUACGGAGGGUGCAAGCGUUGUUCGGAAUUACUGGGCGUAAAGGGCGCGUAGGCGGCCUGUUAAGUCAGAUGUGAAAGCCCGGGGCUCAACCCCGGUAGGUCAUCUGAAACUGGUAGGCUUGAGUAUCGGAGAGGAUAGUGGAAUUCCCGGUGUAGAGGUGAAAUUCGUAGAUAUCGGAGGAACACCAGUAGCGAAGCGACUAUCUGGCGAUACUGACGCUGAGGCGCGAAAGCGUGGGGGGAGCAACAGAUAGAUACCUGUAGUCACAGCUGUAGCGAUGUGCACUAGUGUAGGAGUGUGACCGUCUGUGCCGCAGCUAACGCAUUAAGUGCACCGCCUGGGGAGUACGGUCGCAAGAUUAAAACUCAAAGGAAUUGACGGGGGCCCGCACAAGCGGUGGAGUAUGUGGUUUAAUUCGACGCAACGCGCAGAACCUUACCUGGACUUGACAUCCCGAGAAUUUUCUGGAAACAGAAAAGUGCCUCUUCCGAGGAGCUCGGUGACAGGUGCUGCAUGGCUGUCGUCAGCUCGUGUCGUGAGAUGUUGGGUCAAGUCCCGCAACGAGCGCAACCCUCGCCUUUAGUUGCCAGCAUUCAGUUGGGCACUCUAAAGGGACUGCCGGUGUCAAACCGGAGGAAGGUGGGGAUGACGUCAAGUCCUCAUGGCCUUUAUGUCCAGGGCUACACACGUACUACAAUGGCAGGUACAAAGGGCAGCUAACUCGCGAGAGCAAGCGAAUCCCAUAAAACUUGUCUCAGUCCGGAUCGGAGUCUGCAACUCGACUCCGUGAAGUUGGAAUCGCUAGUAAUCGUGGAUCAGCAUGCCACGGUGAAUACGUUCCCGGGCCUUGUACACACCGCCCGUCACACCACGAAAGUCGGUUGUACCAGAAGACGUUGGGCUAACCUUCGGGAAGCAGGCGUCCAAGGUAUGAUCGGUAAUUGGGGUGAAGUCGUAACAAGGUAGCCGUA